rnacentral:tRNA from 1 species
UCCCUGGUGGUCCAGUGGUUAGGACACCGGGCUUCUACUGCAGGGAGCAUGGGUUCAAUCCUGGCUAGGGAA